rnacentral:rRNA from 1 species
UACAGAGGUGCCAAGCGUUAGGCGGAAUCACUGGGCUUAAAGCGUGUGUAGGCGGAUCGUUAAGUACCUUGUGAAAUCCCACGGCUCAACCGUGGAACUGCUGGGUAUACUGGCGAUCUUGAGCCACCUAGGGGCGAGCGGAACAAACGGUGGAGCGGUGAAAUGCGUAGAUAUCGUUUGGAACGCCAACGGUGAAAACAGCUCGCUGGGGGUGUGCUGACGCUGAGACACGAAAGCCAGGGAGCGAACGGG